GGGCCGUAACAUUUGUGCGGAUCCGACAAAUCUCCUCUGACAACGAACAUACCGCCAGGAUUCAACAGAACCGGGACGGGAGG
rfam:Geobacter sp. FRC-32, complete genome.